rnacentral:rRNA from 1 species
GUCUGGUUGAACUUCCUAAUCAGUCUGGCCUGCCCAUUGAUGUUUUAAAAGGCCGCGGUACAAUGACCGUGCGAAGGUAGCAUAAUAAUUAGUCUUUUAAUUGAAGACUAGAAUGAAAGGUCGGACAAAAAGUAACCUUUCCCAAAGCCUAAAAUCCAAUUUAACUUUUAAGUGAAAAGGCUUAAAUAUUCUUAAAAGACGACAAGACCCUAUAAAACUUUAUAAAAAGAUUUUAACUUUAAAUUUAUUUGUGUAUUUAUUUUAAUUUCGUCUUAUUUAUUUCGUUGGGGCGACGAAAGCAUAAUUAACCUGCUUUUUACUUCAUCACAAUUAUUUUUGAACCUUAUGACCCUUUAUAAAGAUCAAAAGAAAAAGUUACUUUAGGGAUAACAGCGUAAUUUUUUUUAAGAGUUCUUAUCGACAAUAAAGUUUGCGACCUCGAUGUUGAAUUAAAGUAUCUUUACAAUGCAGCCGUUGUAUUAGUAGGUCUGUUCGACCUUUAAAACUUUACAUGAUUUGAGUUCAAACCGGCGUAAG